UUAUCGGUCUUUAGAAGCCAAUAAAUUUAUUUCACUAGAUUUUUUUUUAUUAUAACAAUUUUAAUGAUAUAAGGGUAAUUUAUAAAAAUGUGUAAAUCAUCAUCUCUUGAACACAUUAAAAUGAUAUGUUAAUAUUAUCAGUGCUAUGUAGAAUUUGUUGUUAUUUUUAUAGGAAGCAAAAUGUUUGGUUUGUUUUUUCAUAUUUAUAAAUACUAUUACUACGUGUAAUGAAUUUUUUUUCCUUGGAGGUUGCAUCAAAAAAACUUUGUUUCUUGUUAUAUUAGAAGCAUGUUUUAUAUAUAAUAAGAUUAAUCAUUUCAUCAAUAUUUUACAUUGAAACUCGUUUUGACAAAUAUUAUGUUAGAUUAUCAAUAUUCAUUCAUGUACUGUGAUAAAUUGUUUUGUGCAAUUUUCUAAUACCAUGCUUGAGAUGUUAGAAUGUUGUUCCAUACAAGCAUGAUGGCUAUGAAUUGUACAAACUUACAAUAAUGGCUCUGUAUUUUUGAAACAUAAACUAUUAAA
rnacentral:misc_RNA from 1 species